AAUUCGAUAAUACACGAAAAACCUUACCGAGGCUUGUAAUCUUUUGCAAAGCUAUAGAAAUAUAGUGGAGGCUAUCAGAAUGACAGGUGGUGCAUGGCUGUCGUCAGCUCGUGUCUUGAGAUGUUUGGUUAAGUCCCGUAACGAGCGCAACCCUACUCUUUAGUUGACCAGUUCUAAAGUGACUGAAUCGUAAGAUAUAGGAAGGUUGGGGCCAAGUCAAGUCAUCAUGCCCCUUAUGCCUCGGGCUGCAAACGUGCUACAAUGGUAGGUACAAUGUGUUGCAAUCUAGCAAUAGUGAGCAAAUCACCCAAAACCUAUCUCAGUCCGGAUAAAAGGCUGCAAUUCGCCUAUUUGAAGUUGGAAUCACUAGUA
rnacentral:rRNA from 1 species